GACGAACGCUGGCGGCGUGCUUAACACAUGCAAGUCGAACGAAGUGGCGAACGGGUGAGUAAUACGUGAGUAACUGCCCUCCUUUUUGGGAUAAGCCUUGGAAACGGGGUCUAAUACCGGAUAAGGGGGAUGGGCUGGCGGCCUAUCAGCUUGUUGGUGGGGUAGUGGCCUACCAAGGCGACGACGGGUAGCCGGCCUGAGGGGGCGACCGGCGACAUUGGGCUGCGAUACGGCCCAAACGCCUACGGGAGGCAGCAGUGGGGAAUAUUGCACAAUGGGGGAAAGCCUGAUGAAGCAACGCGCGUGCGGGAUGACGGCCUUCGGGUGGUAAACCGCUUUCAGCCAUGACGCGGUAGUGGCAGAAGAAGCACCGGCUAACUACGUGCCAGCAGCCGCGGUAAUAC
rnacentral:rRNA from 1 species